rnacentral:rRNA from 1 species
ACAACGAAGAGUUUGAUCCUUGCUCAUGAUGAACGCUAGCGGCAGGACUAAUACAUGCAAGUCGAACGGUAAACGGCCCUUCGGGGCCGUGAGAGUGGCGGACGGGUGCGUAACGCGUAUGCAAC